UCCCUGGUGGUCCAGUGGUUAAGACUCUACAUUCCCGAUGCAGAGAGCCCAGGUUCAAUCUCUGGUAGGGGAA
rfam:TPA: Bos taurus chromosome 21, whole genome shotgun sequence.